GGUCUUGUAGUGUAGUUGGUUAUCACUUCGGAUUCUGAUUAUUUCAAUCUUCCGGCGACCCCGGUUCGAGUCCGGGCAGGACCU